rnacentral:rRNA from 1 species
CGACUCCUACGGGACGCAGUAGUAGGGAAUCUUCGGCAAUGGGGGCAACCCUGACCGAGCAACGCCGCGUGAGUGAAGAAGGUUUUCGGAUCGUAAAGCUCUGUUGUAAGUCAAGAACGGGUGUGAGAGUGGGAAGUUCACACUGUGACGGUAGCUUACCAGAAAGGGACGGCUAACUACGUGCCAGCAGCCGCGGUAAUACGUAGGUCCCGAGCGUUGUCCGGAUUUAUUGGGCGUAAAGCGAGCGCAAGCGGUUUGAUAAGUCUGAAGUUAAAGGCUGUGGCUCAACCAUAGUUCGCUUUGGA